GUAAACCAACAAUGAAGAGACAUUAGAAGUACUUCCCAGAACUGAUUCAUUUGAUCAAUCCAGAGGACAUUUUACCUUUUUUAAAAGGUUAAUCCUCACAGAUGUCAAAGUACCGCAUGGUCCAAGUAUUAUACAAAUAAUGAAGUCGUUACAGCAAUGGAUGACUAAGCAUGCCUUGGUAGGUGUCCUGCCUACAAAAUUUCCUAUAAAAGAGUUAAUUUAGGCAUUUUUUGACUGUAGAUAUGUGUGUGUGCGCACAUGCAGAUAGACAUCUCUUUGUGUGUGUGAGACCUCCUGUGUCAGGACAUGGCGGAGGAGAUUCAGUCAUUCUCAGUUCUUCCCCCACCAGGGAUUUACAGGAAAGGAAGGCUUGGAGGGACCCCAGGGGCCAGUAGGCAUGUAUGGUUUCCCAGGAGCGGUUGGCAUACGUGGGAGACCAGGACACCCAGGAGAGAGGGUAGGGGAUCAGUGCCUUUAAUUCACACUCUGCUCUAUUUGUGCAUCUGCUGGGAGUCUCAGCAUUCUUACGCAGCAGGUAGGGUAGAUUAUGAGAAAAUGCAGCACUCCCAGAUACAUUUUUGUGGAAUAUACCCAUCAGUGUCCACCAGGGAAAUGCGUAGAUGUUGCUUCUCCUCCCAAGCCUUUUACGGGGCCUCACAUAGGGUUUUUGCAUCCCUUUCCCUAGGGGGAGCCUGGAGUCCGAGGCCUGCCUGGACCCCCAGGGAAGAGUGGCCCUCCGGUAGGCAUGCAUCUCCAUCAGCCCAUCAGCCCACCUGGUCGCUUCAUCACUUCCAU
rnacentral:lncRNA from 1 species